AAAACGCAAGUUGAGAUAGCAAUCUUUUGCUCGAUGAGGGUGAAGGUCCGGUCAACUGAUGACCACUAAAGAUAGACACAACAUACUACCAA
ensembl:ncRNA F10E9.19 ncRNA